ACACACCCCUUCCACUUCCACUCCCCCUCCACUCUCUCUCCUCCAUAUACCCUGGUGGGGGGCACAGAGUUUAACUUCUGUCAUCUUUCCUCAAACUCCACCCACUCUGCUUUUGGAGACAGGGUCUUUGACUGUCUCUGUCUCCCCAGCAGGCCUGGCACUCUAAGUGCACACCCCACAGCCUGGUUUUCCCUGUGGGUUCUGAGAACCAUGCCCUAGUCCUCAGGGUUUCUGGGUAAGAGCUGCCUCCCCAGCUUUCCAUUCUCUGAUGAUGUUGCCCUGAAGGAAUGGCUGCCCAGGGCACUGACCACUCUUCUCUGACUGGGUGGUCACAGCUCUGCUGACAUUUUGGCAUCAUCCGCAUGCUCCUGCACUGCCCCCAUCACAUUGCAUCACUGUUAUUAACUCCUCUGCACUGGAGUGCUGCCGGGAGGGAAUGAGCCCACCGAGAGAGCUCUCCAUGCUAUACCGAGUUGCCCAGCACAAAGCAGGCGCUCAGGAAACAGUGACACUAAUGACCAAGUAGUUAAGUGAAUCUUUGCAUCUUAAACCUUGUUUGACAGAUUACACCAUCGCCUUUAAAGAAUGAUUUUUGAACCAUAAGUUCUGGAAGACAUCAUAGUCUGUGUUCUACUGAGUCACAAUGCAUAUCAUUUUAUUACUUACUCUGAGAUAUUUUAAAGUAAAAUUUAUUCAACUUGGUGCUAUCCAGAUAUAUUUGCUUCUGAUGGUGAAAUCAUGUUCAGUGGCACAGAGAAAACAUGCCUUUAAAGUUGAGUAAGAAUACGAACUUGCUAGUCCUGGGUAUAUGCUGAGCUAUCCACAAGACCAGUUUGAAAGGAGAUGGGCUAAUGUGGAAAGAUUUGAAAACUCUUGCAGUGACAACUGGGAGGACACACUGGACCUGACUGGAGGGUGGCAAUGAAGAACCAUGCUUUUCCAUUCUCCACCUACCAGAGAGAGCUCCAGCUGCCUGCACUGACCUCCUGUGUGGUGAGGCAGGUUGGAGGAGCUCAGGCACACUUAACAAAUGCUUCUGGUUCUGGGGAUGAGAGAGCUGCUGGGUGUGUCCUCCUGGGGUUGUGACGACAGUGUGGGGAAGGACAGACACCCCACACCUACGCCUUUCCACUUUGCACUGGGCCAAAGUAUUUAGUCUGCUCUGUCUUGCCCACUGCUGGCCUCCUUGGGAAUCUGAAGAUGAGCUGGCAUCUCUGCAGCUGUCUUGAAGAGCUCGAAGGCCCAGAGAGAAGAAGUGACUUUGGGAUGGACCCUGGGAGUGGACCCUGGGAGUUGAGCUUCCUGCCUUCCAGUUUAAGGUCUUCCAUAUUUCUGCUGGUGAAGAGUGCAUGGGUUUGGCCUCACUCUGCAGGGGAAUGGUGGCUUGGUCCUUUCUUGGUAGAGCUGCCAGAAGAGAGCUGUGGAGAACGCCAGGCCUUCCUUCCUUCACCACACACACACACACACACACACACACACACACACACACACACACAGAGGUAGCCCCGCCCCACUCCAUUAAUAGCCCCACUCCAGUUCUCAGAGUGUGUAUCUUUAUUUCACAGUUUUACUGGAAGCCUACAAGCAUCUCCAAUGCAUGCAUUUCUCUAGUAGAGUUGGUCUUUCCAGUGUUCCUGGCCUAGAUUCCCUUUGGAACUCUUAUUUUUGGCCCAAGUUCAUAGGCUUUGUAAAAAGUAUAACUUCCCACAUGCUGCACACUCUCCAGUUGUCAAAAACCUCCUGGAAAACAGACAAGGAGGGAGGUGUGCCGGCUUCACACGCCCACUCCUGAACUCCUGCCUCCCUCUCUGAGCUUCAUUUAUAGUUCCUCUCCCUAAGCAGCGCUGGGUUAGUUCAUUUUCCUGUCUUACAAAUCUGUAAAUUUGGCUUUCUUGUUUUGCUAAAUACUUUUUUUUUUAAAUUGCUCUCAGAGAUCCAGGUUGAGAAAAUGCUUGUAUUUCAAAAGGCACUUAACUCUUGAUUUAUCAGAUGGCAGUUUAGUACUUUGUUUGGGAGAGAGUGCUAGAAGCCAAGGUCAUUCAAACUCUUGUUCCUACCCUCCAAAUUUCUGUUGAGGUUGCUCAGUAGGAUGAAUUUGAGGAAAUUAGGGAAGGGGAGAGAGGAGACAGGAAGCAAGGAGGGGGAGAGAGAGAGGGGGGGCAGGAGAGAGACAGAGAGAGAGUGUGUUUCUAGUAGUUCAAACACAGAGUUUUACAAACAUCUACACUUUUCAAAUGUGAAUUAUUUUCUUUUCAUUUUCUUUUCAUAGCCGAGACCAGGCCAAGCUUCUCGUGAGACCCUUCUGAAAACUGAGAAUCUGCUUCUCUGAAAUAGCUUGGCUCAGGCUCCUCCUCCCCAAGGGCACCUGUGUUGCUUCAGUGUAGACGCAAAUACACCCAAUAGGUCCAGUGCUCAGAGGCCAAAGGGCAGCUAAGGGUUGAGAUGACCUCUGUUCACUGCAGCGGUUAAAAACUCCUGCAGGUAAAAUUUCUUGCUGUGUGUGACCUGAUUUGAGGCACGGGUCUUUGUUUUCGCCGGGUGUGCUUUCCGUUUGUUUUUUGUAAACAUACAGCGUUGAUGCCACACUCUGCAAGGUCUGUGUAUAUCAAUGUGUUUGUGCCAGUUGAAAUAGCAAAACAAAACCAAACAAAAACGGAAAAAGCACUUCAUUUAGAAUUCUCUUACCCUCCGCCUGGUUGAAACAAUUUGUAGAGGUGCCUCGCUAAGGGAAGGACACUGGUUCAAAAACUGUUGGAAAGAAACCGGCCAGCUCCCUCUCUCUGCACAGGUUCACAGCUUAGGAAUUGAAGUUUAGGACAAACACCUAAUUUUGACCAAAGGGACUUGGUUCAUUUAAAAAAAAAUCCCCCUGCUCUCUCUUCUGUUCAGAUCUGCAAGGUUGUUUAAUUGAAGUCCUGUUUUGUGGGCGCAGAUGCACGAGGAGGUUGAAUCAUCGUCAGCCUCAUUUGGUGUUCUGAUGCUGUGUGUUCCUCAUUAUUAUUCCCAGAAUGUCCACUGGACCUUAUGCUCCUCCUCAGGAAAACUCACAAGCAUUGAGCAGUCAAAGAGUCCUUUCUUCUCCUCCCGCCCCCUCGCCCCCAUCUUCGUUGAAACUUUGCCAGUAUCAGAUCUCACUCUGUCUGUGGCGCAUUAAAAUGAAGUGCCUCCCUCCCUGCAGAUCCCCCAGCCUCCGCUCCGCUCUCCAGCCCCACAGUUUCUUCCUAAGUGGGUAGCCUCUUUUGCUUGCUGCGGAUGAACCCCCCCCCCCCCAGUCUGGCUCCUUAGUGCUGGUUUUGGAUUGGGGGGCUGUGAAGGGAGAGAAGGACCUGGCCCGAGUGCGGCAGGAGCAGCUGUGGCCACUUAGAAGCUGAAGCGCCGGACUCUGUCCCCUCCCCCCAGACUAAGGGCGCUUCACAGACUCCCCUCCUGCAAUCCCGUGGGUCACCGCAGAAACCCUGACCGCUAGGGCUCAGCUUAUUAUUGUUGUUACAAUUAUUGGGUUGUUGUUUCCUUCUGAUAACAAGAUCUUCGGAGCAGGGGCCCCGAGAGUGAAUUAUGUUUUUGUAAGCAAGUUCCAAUGUAAGAAGAAAUGCAAGAGACAAUAAGUUCCAAGGUCUACUCUGUGCAAUGAUGAAAACCCAAGAUGGCAGGAGACGAAGCAUUGGGAGAAAGUGCCCCAAUGUCGUCAGUGCCUUAGUUUGUAUUUUACAGAUGAGAGCAUUGGCUGAGAUUUACAAAGAACAAACAAGUCCAUAGUCAGAUGCUAGAAACAAUUUCAACCCAGUGCUGACUGACGACAGGGAAGAGAACCAGACUGCUAAAGUUAAGGGGGAGUCUAGUGAUGAACUGUAAAAAAUUAAACAUUUUAAAUAGAAACAACAACAAAUAAAACUUGUUUUAAAAGGCUUUUUGUUUAUUCAUUUGUUUCUUUCUCCAACUUUCUCUUGGAAUUAGAAUUUUAAGGUAAAGGUUUGCUUGAUUAAGAUUUAUAACUACAUUAUUUUAAGUUAAACUUAGUUUUUACUAAACAAGGAGAACCAAAAGGAAAUACAAGCUGGACAAUUUUUUCCAUGUAUUUGAUAUCAGUAAGCAGCUUCUAUUAUCACACUACACAUUUGGAGGCAGUUUGCCCAAGGUACUUAUUUUUAAAAUUCCAGGGUUGAUGUACUUCAGUCUUUAGUAGCUAGCUACUCUCAUCCACCUGGAAGCAGAGUGCCUAUCCCGCAGAAUGUCUAAUGAUCACAGGAAUUCAGUCUCCUCAGCCGAUGACCUCAUUUUAUCCAUCAGGAAGCCAAGAACCCAAGCAGCCAAGCAACUUUCUUGUCCAAAGCUUCAGUGUGGGUCUA